CUUAACUGCGUGCCAGCAGCCGGGGUAAUGCGAAGGGGGUGAGCGUUGUUCGUAAUGACCUGGCGUAAAGCGCUGGCAGGUGGGUGCUCAAGGCAGUGGGUAAAGCCCGGAGCUCAACUCCGGAACUGCCAUUGAAACUGUGAAACUGGAGGACGAGAGAGGUGAGUGGAAUUCCCAGUGGAGAGGUGAAAUUCGUAGAUAUUGGGAAGAACACCGGUGGCGAAGGCGGCUCACUGGCUCGUAUCUGACACUCAAGCGCGACAGCGUGGGGAUCAAACAGGAUUAGAUACCCUAGUAGUC
rnacentral:rRNA from 1 species